rnacentral:rRNA from 1 species
GACGAACGCUGGCGGCGUGCCUAAUACAUGCAAGUAGAACGCACAGUUUAUACCGUAGCUUGCUACACCAUAAACUGUGAGUUGCGAACGGGUGAGUAACGCGUAGGUAACCUUCCUGGUAGCGGGGGAUAACUAUUGGAAACGAUAGCUAAUACCGCAUAAUAUUGAUUAUUGCAUGAUAAUUGAUUGAAAGAUGCUAUUGCAUCACUACCAGAUGAGCCUGCGUUGUAUUAGCUAGUAGGCGAGGUAACGGCUCACCUAUGCGGAGAUACAUAGCCUAGCUGGAGGGGGGGAUGGCCACCCUGGGACGGAGACACGGCCCAGGCUCCUAAGGGAAGGAGCAGUAGGGAAAUUUCGGCCAUGGACGGAAGGCUGACCGCGCAACGCCGGGGGAGUGGAGAAGGUCGUCGGAUCGUAAAGGUCUGUUGUAAGGGAAGAAAGGGCGUGAGAGUGGAAAGUUCAUGCUGUGACGGUAUCCUAACAGAAAGGGACGGCUAACUACGUG